GGGCCGGCCCCAUCUUCUUUUUUUAAAAAUUUUUUUUCAAUUUUUUAUUUUUGUGAGGAAGAUCAGCCCUGUGCUAACAUCUGCCAAUCCUCUUUUUUUGCUGAGGAGGACUGGCCCUGGGCUAACAUCCACACCCAUCUUCCUCUACUUUAUAUGGGACGCCUCCACAGCAUGGCUUGCCAAGCGGUGUGUCAGCGCGCGCCCUGGAUCCGAACCGGCGAACCCUGGGCCGCCACAGUGGAGCGCGCACACUUAACCGCUUGCGCCACUGGGCCGGCCCCCCACCCCAUCUUCUAAACUACUUUACUUAGCAAUUAUAUUUAGAUUUAUUUUAGAAAUGAAAAGAAAACUUACGAACUGGGAUAAAGAACACUCCCAGAAAAAGAAAUUUGAAUAAGCAGAAAGUAUGUUUUUUUGUGAAACUUCCACAUAUGGUGGAAGAUUUUCUUCCACAUACCACGUUUUUGAUAAUCUCAUCUUUGCCAUCAUGUUUCUGGACUUUAAGUAGAUGGUAGCAGAAAUCCAGUACAGCAAAGCGCCGCUGUUGCCCAAGAAGUACAAUGAUCAUACAGCCAGCCCAGUGGAGCCCAUCGCCAAAACACUGCCUGGAAACAAGAAGCAGUAAGUAGAAUGGGUGAUCAAUAAACAAGUAUGACGUCUUUCAUGAGUCUGUCCCCAGAUGUCAAUGACCAAGCCAUCUGCUGGGAACGGGCCAGGAAGGGAAUGCUGAGCAGCAGGUGGUAUGCCCCUGCUUUUGGUAAACACCUCUUUUGGGUUCCUCUGGCACACUCUUUCCUAACUUUUUUUAGAUCAUGGACCCUCCAUGAAGAAUGACUUCAUGAAACUGUGGACCUCCAACCUAGAAAAAUGCCCACCUGACUUGCAUAUGUUUCCAUGGGUUCAGAGACUCCCAAAAGCCUAGCCCUGAGUCACCUCCUGGGCAUCAAGUAAGAACCUCCAUGAUUUACCAGUCUGGCAGCCCUCCCCACGAGUUUGCUACCAGCCUCUUGAGAACCAGAGUUUAUAACAAGACACCACAGCAGAGACAAAAGAAGGGCGCUUCCUCUGCAAACAGUGCAGGCGGCAGAAGCAAAGGGGCAGCAUCGCCCUUGUAUGCAGCAUCAACUCAUUCCCCACAGAACCCCAAAGUUCUGGGCAGUUGCUCUGAAUCUGUUGUUGGAUCACAAACUCCUUUAAAGAGGAUCUCCCCGAAGAUGAUGCCAAAGCUAAGAUCAAGAGGAGGAAGAGAAGACUUCGCACUCAUCAAGUGAGUGUCCCAUUGUCACCUAACGUAAACGUAGUGAAGCAGCCAGUCAGCCGCCACCUGCUCCACCAGGACACUACAGAAGGAGACUGACCCCUCCACACCCUGUCUUCCGUUCCUGAGGCCAGCAGCAAUGCUUGAGCCCUUCAUGCAGAAUAUAUGUAAUGGGAGCCACCUCUGGGCCAGUGCAAACAGGAGGACCUUCUCCCCUAGGCCUUCUAUUCUAGGUGAAGGAGGUGUAGGGGAAGGAGAAAGGGACAAGCUAAAACAGUGCAAAGGAUCAGAUGGUGACACUCGCUAUGUAUAACACAUAAGAGGAUGUGACAUUAGCAGAAUACUACACAGCUAUAAAAAUGAUGAGGAAUGUCACCACUUACCAAUGUGCAGUGAUCUCUAGGAUGUAUUUACUAUCAAGUGAAAAAAGCAAGGUAGAGAAGGGCGAUUGGCCUGCCUGCACCCACAGAGGGUAGGAGGGCAGCUGGAAGGUGACUGACCACAAAAAAUGGCCAGGCCAAUGGACGGAAGAAGGGAGACUUUGAUAAGGGAAGAGAGCUGCUGGGUGAGAAGGCUGGGGCAGAGCCACACAGAGGGAGGACGCUGCGGGUGGUAAAGGUGCCUGCCAGCCGGCAACACCACCCCAAAGGGGCUGAUCAGCCAUCUGUGCUGCUUCCAGGCACUCCUGUCAAUGAGCUCAAAUCUUUGCCCCCAAAUCAAACCAGAAAAAGAGUGAGAACAGCUAUAAAAACCAGCAUUAAAAACAAACAAACAAUCUAAAACUACUCUAAAACAAAAAGUUGAUUAAACACACACACACACAAGCUAAAAAAAACUACACUACCAAAAUUUUCAGGUUGGGUUUAGGGAGUCCUUCAAAAAGCUAGAAGAUAUAUCUCCUCAGUGCACAGAUUCAGAAUAAGAUCAACAUUUUUGGUUACUGAACCAAAUCCUGGAGCCAGCGGGGGCCACCACUGCAUGGCCUCACUGGACAGGCCCCCAGGGGCCCCACCCACACGCUUGGUGCCCUCAGCAACUGGGUGACGGUUACCCCACUUUUCUAAUGUUGUGACAAGUUGAAGGACACAUUUACCCUUAAUAUCUUCAUUUACAAUAGUGGGAGCCUAUGCAGAUGCCAAAACAUACUUUAUUACCACCUUCCUUGGAGAGCCCCAAAUAACCACCAAGAAGAGAUCCACCCCUGGGUUUGACGGGACUUGGGUGUAACCCUCCGAGAUGGAGUGAGAGGAGCCAUGUCAUCUUCUACCUUGGAGAGCCCCACCCUGGCAAACCUACUGGAAAACAUCACCCCUUAUUCCCAAAAGGACAAAAGCAACACCACAGAACUCUAAUCUGGGGCUGGGCCUGGGAGCAGACCUGCCCAACACAGAAGGCGUGGUUUCUCGCCACCUCCACAAAGUGCACUGACAGGAGGUGCCAGAGAAGGGAGAGGCGAAGGGGUGACGGAGCAGAGGGUGGGAGGAGCAGUGGCGACAGACAUCCCUGCAGGGCAGGGCCACAGCGUCCACAAAAGCCACGCAUGGUGCUCACAAGAGCCCUCAAGCGUGGGCCACGGAAUCUGCAGUGAAAACAAAAUUGCACUCAACUGAAUUGUAGGUUGCUCUUUUUAUUCAUCGUUUCAGAAAUAUCCAUCCACUCAUUAGCCAAAGUUUGCUUUAAGAUCAACUGACAACAAUUUAUAGUAUCUUUCCCAGGUGGCCAGCACUAUGCUCGUCACUCAAGGGAGCUAGGCACAGACUUGAGACACAGGCCUUGGUCUCAGAAGGGAGAAGACACCGGGGAUCCACAUUAGCUGGGCGCUGGAGACCUGGCACUCACCAGGCUCCCAAGACCUAGAAGAUCCCUCACUGAGGCACCAUCCCCAAGGGACUGCAGUGAGCCUUUCGGAGUGUUGGACGACUCGCAGAGGGAUUUUGCGUGAGAGGCAACAGGUAUCAUUUAAGGAUCUGGGUGGGCAAGGAUGGCAUCGGUUCCAGAUUUCUCUUUCCCUAAGUUUCUAAUAGAGCAUCACACUCCUUCCAGAAGCCAACAAACGUCCAGUCAUUGCCCUGACGGUGAGUACAGACUGUUCCUUUGAGCUGAUGAGAGAAGGUACUGUCCCUUCAGCUUCAAACCCCCGUGGUUCUGUAAUUAUUUUAUGUUUAUACAAGGCCUUCUUGACAUCUAUUUUGGUGAAGAAGAGCUUUUGACAGUUUAUCUUAUUUCCUAAAGGGGAAGCUAGACCAGAAGAGAAACUAGCCCUCUAAUGGUUCCCUGGCACUGACUAAAUCAAUUCCAUAAGGCAGUCCCCUCUUCAGUAAAACUUGAGGCUCCCCCACCCUGACCGAAGCAAGUGACUAAAAGGCAUCUUCAGGCUUAGAUACACGUAGAUGAGAGAGACUGCACUUUAUGUUGUAGGUUCAGGAAAAGUCACAUGAAGGAAAUAUUCCUACAUUAAAUAUCUAAAAUUCAUGAUGAGAGAUUACUAUUUAAAAGAAUUCUUCCUAACUUAUCUGGUUGUUAAAAAUUUACAUGUAUUUAGGUAAAAGAUUCAGUCCUCCCUAACGUGUUCCUGGAGGAGGCUGCCCUAAAUGUUGGCUGCUUACUGGUCCACAGUCAGCUGCCUGCUCCUUGGGAACCGCAGGCCUGCCCUGCGACUCUGGCAGGUUCUCCAGCUCCCGCCAUCACUCCUGCUGUGGGAGCGGGCAGCACGUGAGGGGCUGCUCACUCGGGGUCCAUGCUGAGUCUCGGGUGGUGGGGAUAUGAGGGCCUGGGAGUCCCCCCUCUUUGUCACCACAUGGAAAGGGUCUGCCUAGGAACGCAACAACAUAGGGAGAAGCCAAAAGACCCAGGUCCUGACAGGAGGCGAUCAGCUCCUGAAUGUGUCCAUAUCCGACCUUGGACUCCCUGUCAAAUGAGCCAACAUGUUUUCUUUUUUUGUGUACGCGGGUGUAAGGUGGCCAGUCCAGUGGCUCAGCCCCUGGAGGCCUGGCAGUCUGACUGCCAUGCCCUGAACUGUGUACUAGGCACCCUGGCCCUGGUCACUGCAAAGCAAGACCCUGGCUCUGCCACGACCCAGGGCCCUGAAGACAAGACACUGCUUUAAGAAGCAACAUAGCAAAGAUCUCCCCAAACAGGUCUAGAACGCAAUGCAAUUCCCAUCACAAUGCCAAUGUGCUUCUUCAACACAGUUGGCAGGCUGGUUCUCAUACUUGCAGAGCAGAGCAGAG